rnacentral:rRNA from 1 species
UGACCUCGGAUCAGGUAGGGAUACCCGCUGAACUUAAGCAUAUCAAAAGCCCGAGGGAA